rnacentral:rRNA from 1 species
UACGUAGGUGGCAAGCGUUGUCCGGAUUUAUUGGGUUUAAAGGGUGCGUAGGCGGCUUUGUAAGUCAGUGGUGAAUUAUGGCAGCUUAACUGUCAAGGUGCCAUUGAUACUGCGGAGCUUGAGUACAGAUGAGGUAGGCGGAAUUGACGGUGUAGCGGUGAAAUGCUUAGAUAUCGUCAAGAACACCUAUAGCGAAGGCAGCUUACUAGGCUGUAACUGACGCUGAGGCACGAAAGUGUGGGGAUCAAACAGG